rnacentral:lncRNA from 1 species
GGUCAUUUUAGAUUAAGUCCCUUUAGGUAGAAACAAUUGAAAUAACAUGGUAGAAUUUUACCAAAAAAGCAAACAGCAUCUUUCUUGCAUGAUAUAUUGAAACCCGCAAUUUCCACCGAGUAUGGAUUACUUGACUAAUAAAAAACAUGCCUUAGCCUGAUCUGAAACUAUACGUGCAUUGCUUCAAAAUGAAAUGAAAAAAAGUAUCGAUAGUUGUCACUUCUACGUUCUACUUUGGGACCUUAUUUUUCAGCAAUGAUGCAUCUAUUAAUUUGAGAAAAACAAUGUGCUAGACAGGUUUUCCACUUUUGCAGUAAUUAAAAGACAAUGGAACACAGGACAAAGAAAAAGCUCCAAUAUGGUGAGGAUCCUCGCCUAUAAACAAGAAUGAUAAUGAAGCAUGUCACGAUACUGGUACUAUAGAUUAUCUUUAAGUAUCAAGGAUCUUAACUUCAGAAGACUGGUGGUAAUUACUUCAGCCACUCCAUAAGCACAUGGAAUGAAAGAACAAAUUCUACCGAAAACCAAGAACAAGACCACGUACCAAAAGAGGUAUUGUCCACCUUAGUGACAGAUAUUUUCAUUGCACUGCCGAGCUCCAAAUUUAUUAAGGUGUCAACAUCUGCAAGUGUAGGUUUCUUAGGAACAUCGAACAAUAUCGGAUCAUCCAGAAGAGCUGAGAGCAUAGACUGUAGCUGGGCUUUCUUGGCAGUGAUGCUGCUGUAACCAACAUUUUCCUCGGUUUUGGACCCUGAUUCCAUCUCUUCAGAACAACAUCCUACAGGCAUCAGGUAUAACAUCAUUUUGCAUCAAAAAUAUUUCUAUUCUAUAUCAUUUCUUCGGCUAUAAUCAGCAAUCAACAUUCUACAUUCCGUAAACAGGAAAUUCUGAACGAAGGCGGCAACCCUGUUCAGAUUUGUUCUCGGAAAACAGUUGUUAGGCAUUCACCAGUUCUCUAUUGUUCCCGAAACAUCAAAACAGGCCCAAGUUGCUUGAGGAAAUCCAUCACAACCCACAUGAAAACGACAGAAAGGGAGAAUAGGAAGGGCGGACGGAGCCGAGGGCAAGGAAGGACAUCGAAACCCGCUCGUUUCGGGGGGUGAAGAACACGGUGCCGCUCUCGUCACCGACGAAGCACCCGGAAAUCAUAGCAGGCUCGAGCGGCGUUGGCCGUGUGGAGGAAUCAAGAGGAACGAAGAGAAAGGCAGGGUGAGAAGCGAUCUGCCAUGGGGCGGGCCAUUUGUAGUGGCCCGUGGGCGUAGGGCACAUAGUAAGAGAGGG